rnacentral:sRNA from 1 species
UGCGGAAGGAUCAUUAUUGAAUAAAACUUGAACAGGUUGUUGCUGGCCUCGUACUGGGCAUGUGCACGCUUGUCAUUUUUAUUUCUCCUCUGUGCACCAACUGUAGGUCUGGAGUUUUUGUUUUGAAAUCACUUUGAUUUCGAUUGAGGACUGCUUGUCAGCUUUGCCUUGCAUCUCCAGGUCUAUGUUCUUUACAAUCUCUCAAAUGUGUUUGGAAUGUCUAAUUGAUGUAAUAAAUACAUACAACUUUCAGCAACGGAUCUCUUGGCUCUCGCAUCGAUGAAGAACGCAGCGAAAUGCGAUAAGUAAUGUGAAUWGCAGAAUUCAGUGAAUCAUCGAAUCUUUGAACGCAUCUUGCGCUCCUUGGUAUUCCGAGGAGCAUGCCUGUUUGAGUGUCAUAAAGUUCUCGACCACAUUGAUUUGCUUCUGAUGUGGAUUGGACAUGGGAAUUUUUGCAGGCCUUUCAAAGAGGUCUGCUUUCCUGAAAUAGAUUAGUGGUAUCUGAGCAGAGACUUACUACGGGUGUGAUAAACCAUCUAUGCCUAUUUGUAGAAUGCUGCGACAGGACUGCUUCUAAAAUCUCAUUUGUUGACCAAUUUGACCUCAAAUCAGGUAGGACUACCCGCUGAACUUAAGCAUAUCAAUAAGCGGAGGAA